GUGGGGAAUAUUGCACAAUGGAGGAAACUCUGAUGCAGCGACGCCGCGUGAGUGAUGAAGGCCUUCGGGUCGUAAAGCUCUGUCGCAGGGGAAUAACACUAUGAAGGUACCCUGUAAGAAAGGAUCGGCUAACUUCGUGCCAGCAGCCGCGGUAAGACGAGGGAUCCUAGCGUUGUUCGGAAUCAUUGGGCGUAAAGCGGAUGUAGGUGGCUAUGUAAGUCAGAUGUGAAAGCCUGGGGCUCAACCCCAGAAGUGCAUUUGAUACUGCGUAGCUUGAGUGUCGGAGAGGUUACUAGAAUUGUUGGUGUAGUGGUGAAAUACGUAGAUAUCAACAGGAAUACCGGAGGCGAAGGCGGGUAACUGGCCGAACACUGACACUGAGAUCCGAAAGCGUGGGGAUCAAACAGGAUUAGAAACCCCGGUAGUCC
rnacentral:rRNA from 1 species